rnacentral:snRNA from 1 species
AGUGGCUGACGGUCCAGCAUCUUCGCAUUACGUUCUCGCCUUUUACUAGAGCAUGCCGUGUCGGGCCGUCGCUGAACGCCACUUUCCCGAAUUUCUCGCUUCUCAGCCUUGCUCUGAGGU